rnacentral:rRNA from 1 species
GUCCACGCCGUAAACGAUGUCGACUAGCCGUUGGAGACCUUAGAGUCUUUAGUGGCGAAGCUAACGCGAUAAGUCGACCGCCUGGGGAGUACGGCCGCAAGGUUAAACUCAAAUGAAUUGACGGGGCCCGCACAAGCGGUGGAGCAUGUGGUUUAAUUCGAUGCAACGCGAAGAACCUUACCAGGUCUUGACAUCCAGAGAACUUUUCCAGAGAUGGAUUGGUGCCGCAAGGAGCUCUGAGACAGGUGCUGCAUGGCUGUCGU